UCCGAAAACCACUUCUGACAUCCGGUCAAACGUCCGAUGUGACACCCAAAAAUUUUCAUUUCACCUUAGGCCCUGUUUAGUUCUCAAAAAAUUUUCGCAAAAACAUCACAUCGAAUCUUUAGACACAUGUAUAGAGUAUUAAAUAUAGAU
rnacentral:misc_RNA from 1 species